GUGAUUUCUGCCUCCUGGAGGCCUUCUAAAGCUCCUCAGGAAGCCCCAACCUCUUACUGGCAGCUGAGAAAACUGGAAUGGCCUUGGCUCUGUACAAUACUGCUUACUAACGAUAAGAAUUGAAGAAACUAAGAAAUACUGCAUGUGAAGGAUGUGUACUCUCCAGAAGUCCUUCAUUUUUGCUUUCUUCAGCUGUGGGCUUUGCAAGUUCAUUAUCUGUCAAUUUGAAGUUGGAAAGAGAUACUGCUAAGGAGCUGAUGCCAACAUUAUGAGCAUUCUGGGAGAAGCUGGCUUCACUGGAAAAGCUGGCUGACGGGUCAGGCUCAAACUGAUAUAGUAAAUGGGGUUACAUCAGGCUGAUGCCCAGUUGCUAUCCAUUUUAGGGCCCAUUCCUCCUAACGUUUUCAUCAGUGAAAGUAUGCUAAAUAAGUUUGCGAACAUUGAAUUGAGAGGAGUUGUUGACUUCCCUGGGAGUAGAGAGGCUUUGCAAAAAAGAUCUUGACAAACUGGGGAGGUGAACUAUGACUAACUGCAGGAAGUUUAACAAGAGCAGGUGCUGGAUUCUGCACUGGGGACAUGGAAACCCUGAAUAUGUGUACAGACAGGAAAGAAAGGCUGGAGAGCAACUGUGCAGAGAGGGAUCUGGGCAUUCUGGUUGACAGCAUGUUGAAUAGUUGAGUCUACAGUGUGCUCUGGCUGCCAAAAAGACCAACUGUGUCCUGGGGUACAUCAGGGAUAGCAUUGCUAGCUGGAAUAAGGAAGGGAUUGUCCUGCUCUGCUGUGGAGCAUGUUGACCAUGCCAUAUGUUUAUGAGGAAGCUAAAAUAUACACAAAAGUUUGGAAGGUCCUUAUUUCUCCAGGGAAAAGCUUCCCUACUUACUGAAUGAUUAAAGUUUUAAUCACUAAUUCAUUUGAUAAUUUGUCAAUCACUUAAAUAUUUCCUAACAUGUCUUGAACGGUCAAUUUAAAAAAAAAAAAAAGUAAAUAAGUCUUUAUGGGAUGAUACAGAUGUGACUUCCAAGAUUGUUUCUAGUAUGAGAAUGUGUAAUAUUAAUUUAAAACUUCAUAAUAGUUUAGCAGAUAGUUUGUAUUUAGUAUGCCUAGACCAGAAAUGAAAGUAUUAAAAUAUAAGCUUACUUUACAACCUCAAUUUUUCUUUUUCUCUCUCUAGGCUUAAUAAUAAAAAUAUAUGUUAAAAAUACAUUCUUGCAACAACACCAAAAUUUUAGUUAUAUUCAUUUUUGACUCUAAAAAAACUGCACAUAUUUGGUUAUUCUUAUCAAUUUUGCUUUACUGCUAUUGUUAAUAACGCUUAUUUAAAAAGUUUCUGAUAUGAAUAUAACAAUAAAGAAAAUCUUUUACAUUAAAUAUUUUGAAAGUUUUUCUUGGCCAGGUUCUGAGGCACUAAAUAUCUCUUCUGUUAGUGCCCCAAAUCCAUUGAUAAGAUAACCACACCAUCUGUUCACAAACCCUUUUUAAGAAAUCCUGACCUACGCAAACAGAUUCAUAAGGGAUAGUUAUUUUUCCUUCAGAACUAAACAGUAUUGCUCUGAUACUAACUUCCUCUAUGAAGUCGUCUGAAAUGCUGACUUAAAAGAGCAUGGCUUCAAACACUGGGUCAUGGGGCUACUUGAAAGCUUAUGUGAUAGAACAAGUUUAAUGAGGAUUCUUAAGAUGCUGAAUUAGUAGCAACUGCAGAGAUUUUUGAAACAGGAUGAGCUUGUGCAAGCAGAAAGAACUUCAUAUAAAUCAAAAAUGGGCCAAAACUAAAAAAUGGGUAGAUGUU